rnacentral:rRNA from 1 species
GAUGAACGCUGGCGGCGUGCCUAAUACAUGCAAGUCGAGCGAACAGACGAGGAGUUUGCUCCUCUGACGUUAGCGGCGGACGGGUGAGUAACACGUGGAUAACCUACCUAUAAGACUGGGAUAACUUCGGGAAACCGGAGCUAAUACCGGAUAAUAUAUUGAACCGCAUGGUUCAAUAGUGAAAGACGGUUUUGCUGUCACUUAUAGAUGGAUCCGCGCCGCAUUAGCUAGUUGGUAAGGUAACGGCUUACCAAGGCAGCGAUGCGUAGCCGACCUGAGAGGGUGAGCGGCCACACUGGAACUGAGACACGGUCCAGACUCCUACGGGAGGCAGCAGUAGGGAAUCUUCCGCAAUGGGCGAAAGCCUGACGGAGCAACGCCGCGUGAGUGAUGAAGGUCUUCGGAUCGUAAAACUCUGUUAUUAGGGAAGAACAAAUGUGUAAGUAACUAUGCACGUCUUGACGGUACCUAAUCAGAAGGCCACGGCUAACUACGUG